UACGACGCCCUUUCUCACUCCGGUAAGCACGGGAAGCUGGUGCAGGACUCCUACCUGCCUUAGCCACACUCCCCGUGUGCCCUCCCCCAAAACCCUCCCCCAAUACAUUUUUGGGGCUGCCUCUCGGGCUUCCUACCGCGCCGCCGUGCUGACUCCAUUCGCCGGUAUCCCUCCUCACACUGCUCCAGAGAAUCCCAGGCGGGCUCUGUUACUCUCCCUUGGUCGGCAGCCCACCUGUUAAUCUCCUCCCAAGUAGUGACCUCGUCCAGAUCUCGCUCCCAAGUCCAUAAGUCCUGAUUACGCUGCUCCUGCUGCCGCUGCCUGUCACCACGCUGCUUGGACCUGUUGUGGUGGGUGAUUCUGUCACGAUCGUCGUAAGAAGCGGACCAAAAUGCAACGUGUGGAAACAUCACUGCUCUAGAGGAGAUCUGCAUGGAAGAAUGGGCCAAAAUACA
ensembl:lncRNA